rnacentral:rRNA from 1 species
UACGUAGGUGGCAAGCGUUGUCCGGAUUUACUGGGCGUAAAGGGCGUGCAGGCGGUUUGUUAAGUGCAGGGUGAAAGCUCCCGGCUCAACUGGGAGAGGUCCUUGCAUACUGGCGAACUCGAGGGAGGCAGAGGAAAGUGGAAUUCCCGGUGUAGUGGUGAUAUGCGUAGAUAUCGGGAGGAACACCUGUGGCGAAGGCGGCUUUCCGGGCCUUACCUGACGCUGAGACGCGAAAGCGUGGGGAGCGAACAGG